AUGGGACUACGUAUUCGUAAGUCCAGAUUCACUGGAGUGAGUAUAUUCACCGAUGCAGACUGGGCAGGCUGUGUUGAUGAUAGGCGCUCCACUGGUGGUUUUGCUAUAUUUGUUGGACCUAACCUUGUAUCUUGGAGCUCGAAGAAGCAACCCACAGUCUCGAGAUCAAGCACUGAGGCAGAGUAUAAGGCAUUAGCCAAUGGCGCGGCUGAAGCCAUUUGGAUAGACUCGGUUCUCACAGAACUUGGAGUCCCACGGCAGCGCACUCCUAUAUUGUGGUGUGAUAACUUAGGGGCAACUUACCCGACGGUGAAUCCAGUGUUUCAUGCUCGGACCAAACACAUUGAGAUUGAUUUCCACUUUGUGAGAGAACGAGUAGCUGCUUGUGAACUGGAAGUCAGGUUUAUUUCUACAGAUGAUCAGUUAGCGGAUGUAUUUACUAAACCCGCUACUAGACAGAUGCUAGACCAUUUUAGAACCAAUCUGAAUCUUGUAUGUAGUUCAGAUUGA
rnacentral:rRNA from 1 species